CUUUUGCUGGCGACCGGCGCACGGGUGAGUAACACGUAUCCAACCUGCCGAUAACUCGGGGAUAGCCUUUCGAAAGAAAGAUUAAUACCCGAUAGCAUAAUGAUUCCGCAUGGUUUCAUUAUUAAAGGAUUCCGGUAAAGGAUGGGGAUGCGUUCCAUUAGGUUGUUGGUGAGGUAACGGCUCACCAAGCCUUCGAUGGAUAGGGGUUCUGAGAGGAAGGUCCCCCACAUUGGAACUGAGACACGGUCCAA
rnacentral:rRNA from 1 species